UACAGAGGGGGCAAGCGUUGUUCGGAAUUACUGGGCGUAAAGGGCGCGUAGGCGGCCUUCUAAGUCGAACGUGAAAUCCCCGGGCUCAACCCGGGAACUGCGUCCGAUACUGGAAGGCUUGAAUCCGGGAGAGGGAUGCGGAAUUCCAGGUGUAGCGGUGAAAUGGCGUAGAUAUCUGGAGGAACACCGGUGGCGAAGGCGGCAUCCUGGACCGGCAUUGACGCUGAGGCGCGAAAGCCAGGGGAGCAACGGG
rnacentral:rRNA from 1 species